rnacentral:lncRNA from 1 species
CCACAGUGAGCGAAGAUCUAGCUUGGGGGAGAUCCUCUCCCCCACUAAGGUAAGUAUUCUAUCCUAUUUAUUUUCAUGCAUUUUAUCAUUCUUACUUAAAAAAAAUAUAAAUAUUUAUUAGCAUUUCCCUUUAGCAUAUAUGCUUCAUGUAUGUUUAUAUCCCUCAUGGAAAUUAUGACUAGUUGCUUGUUAAUGUUUCUCUAGUGCCUAGUAUACAACUUAGUAUUUCUCUAAGUAUGGAUCACUUAGCUCACUUAAACUGCCAUGAACCUAAAAACUUUGUGGGUUGCAAGUGCUAGAACUAAGUCUAAGUUGUUGUGGGACAUGAGAUAGUAAGACAAGAGCUACUAUAAUAUUUUUCUAAGCAUGCAUGAUUAUCAGAGAUUUAUUCUUAAAAUGAUCAAAACCUUAAUUGUUCCUCAAUGGUGAUGAAUUCCUACCACAACCAUAUCUACUUUACAUAAUUGCAACCUUUCCACAUAAGCUAUUUGCUUUGUGUUGAGUGUCGUCAAGUCUUGUUGACCCUUGUUAAGAGACUUUUCAUGCUCCUAAGAUCAAGAUCACGUACACACCACAUAUAUAUAUGCUGCUUCUACACUGGAAGUACGCAACCACAUGUAUUUCGCAUCCACUAAAUAGGUUGCUCCAUACUCUAAAUGUUAGAACAUCUCUCUAAGCAUUAUUUGGUAAAUGAGACAUCAAAAGGCUAGGCAAAAUGAAAUAAAAAGAUGGACAUGUGCAAGUCCACAGAAAAAGAAAAUUGAGCACAUGAAAGCUCAUAUAUAAAAAAAAGAGAUGAAAAAAAAUGCUAGCCAUGUCUCAAUACAUAGAGAGUCUAUCAAAUAAAGGAGCAACCUAGUCCACCAUAUAUCACACUUGCACAUCUUGAUCUGGGAGUAUGACACUUCUUUUCAAGGAUCCGAGCUUUGACUUCGCAAUACAUGCAAAGUAAGUAUGCUAUCUCCUUUCAUCCCUACCUUGAACUCCACAUAAGCCUUUUAGAAAUAGGAUGAAAUAGAGAAGGCAACUCUUACCAUAUGCCUCGGUUCCAGGGUCGGUGGCCUCCCACCGACCUUCCCCACAUGUCCCACAUGUUCAUUUGCCCCUGCCGUUGAUCAAAUGGCGGUUGUGAGGUCGGUUUGAUCCAAGGGUGGAGAGAAGAUGUCACACGGAUCGAUGACGUGGCGAUGGAGUAACCCCUACUCCAUCUCCCUCUAUAAAAGGCAGCCUCCAUCCUUCAUUUCAAGUGUGCAAUUCCAAGGCCAAGUGCAUUACAAGUUCCAAGCAUACAAGUAGAGUAG